AGACCCCUGCCCUGGGAAAUGGAGGAACAACAGGAUAGAAGCAGCCUGGGUCCCUGAAGGAACACACUGAGCAAAGCUAUACCACUGCCAGGAGUGACAGAUAAAAAAGAAACUCAUUUUUGUUUUUCAGCCACUGUAUUAUUGGUUCUUCGAAUUACCAACAUUUUGGUGUUUUCCCAAACUAAGCCAGUCAGAAAAAAAAAGGAUGGAAGAGGAAGAAGCUGAGAUAUGGGAUGAGGCACAAGCCCAAGGUGGGAUCUGGAUAUCUCCUGAGUUUUUACUUGCUUUAUUCAAUCUGGAGUCAUUCUUUUCAUCUAACAGGUUUUCCUAUGUGAGAAACAUGAAUUCCAGUGCAGGUGCUAAGGUGCAGAUUCUUAAGUGACACAGCCAAAAACUCUUAGUAGGUCUGAGCGGAUGGUCAAAGACAACACUUCUAAGAGUGGUUCAGAGAGCACAGGAUUUUAAACCACAAAAACCUAAAUCCACUUAAUAGGAAUAUGAUGUCGAUAGAGCUUUUUAAUCUUUUUAAGUCUCAGAUUUAACAUUUUUUAAGUGGAUAUAAAGACAGUACUUAUCUCAUCUGGUAGUUAUAAAGAUUAACUAAAGAAUUCAUGUUAAGCACCUAACAAGUUUCUGUCACAUAGUGUAAUUGCUCAAAAAGGUAUCAUCUUUAUCCUUAUUAUUUUAUCUUUAUUCAUGAGUAAAGCACUUCUAUAUAGUAAAAUAUUUUUCAAUCAUUUAAAAAAAGUUUUGAGUAUAUUGUGACUUGAAUUAUUUUAAGUUGAAGAUUAAGUUCUGAUCUGGUAAUGAUGAAUAAAGAUCAGACUUUAUGUUAUUUUUCUCUAUGUAA